rnacentral:lncRNA from 1 species
CUUUGUUUUACAGAAGAGGAAGUUGAACACUGGAGAGGAGAAAUUACUUUUUUUUAAAGUCAUACUUUUGGGAAUGACCCAGCCUGGACUUGAAUGCAGGUCUCAGAAGGGCUAGUAGUUCAACUGAGCUCUUUCCACACCUCCAUCCUUCUCAAUUUCCUUUCAGCUCAAAAAUCUUAUAAUCCCACGGCACGGAUUUAGGUCUAUAAGGUAGAAAGUGAUUGGACUCUACAAUACUCUAAGAAUUCUUGUGGAUGGAGGCAUCUGCUCUCUUCUCACACAGAGAAGGUGAUGGCUGAUGGGGAAGACACAUCACAGGAUAUGAACAACAUUCUUGUGACCAGUAUGACGACUGGGGUUGACUCAGAGACUACAGUGAAAACAAAACUCUCCUCUACAUCUCCCUCCACCACAUCCCACCUUGAGCACCAAAGUCUGGACCCUGACUGGAGCCAGACCACUCCUACAAAUGCUUCUUCAACUAAACCUUUUGAUCCAGGUUCAUUGGGUACAUCUGCCACCUCACCUCCUAUAGGGGACAGUCCAAACUCAACAGCUUCUAUGCCCACUGAGACAUCAGAGUCUAUAUUAGAUGACUCUAUGAGGACUGACCCUCACACGUCCAAGGCUCCAGGCUUUGGAAUGGGUUCAUCUUCUACUCUGGCCCCAGGAGGGUGGGAGAAUUCAUCUUUGGGCACCAUAUCAAGCAGAGUGGUUACCAGCAGCAUUUCCCCUGUCCCAUCUACUCCUCCCUCCAUGGGCUCUAGGACAGAUGUCACAACAUCUGGCAGGGUGACAAACACAGAUUUGCCUUGGUCUACUCCCUUAACUAUGACCUCCAGGAGGGCAAGUACCAGCCCCGCUGUCUCAAUUCCCUUUGGGCCACAUCCAACGAAAACUGUGGCAGAGGGUGUACCCAGUCCCAAAGUCACACCAAUCCCUCCUUUGUCAAGUACUUUGGUUUCUGUUAGCACAGAUAUGCAGGUGGAGAGGAAUGUAGCUACCUUGGCAGAUGGCUCUCCUUCCCAGGGAAGAAGCUCUCCUUCUCUGAAUCCUACCACAUCGUCUUCUCCUGGAAUCUCUACUAGAGUAGACACCCACAAAACUGCCCAUUCGUCUUUGGGUCAAAGCUCGUCCAUAUCUCCCACUUUCAAUGCUCCUGCGUCCUGGACAAGCACCGUGUCCCCCGAUGCCUUUCCAUCUCAGGAGACCAUGGGGAUGGUCAGCAUCAUUACAGCAUCAGAAACAGACAUGACAGAAUCCUCCCCACAAGCUAUCGCCUCCUCUGUGGCUGACAACCACUCCACAUCAGCAUCUCUCCUGCAAGAAACCAUCGUGACAGUGGACAGCACCCUAAGGAAAGGGCCAGUUUCUGAUUCCACUCCUUCCAACUCUCUCCCUUUGACAAGUAAGGCACCAACCUUCUCUUUAGAGGAUUGAGUUGGGAACCAUGGGAAGAAGAACUGAGUGUGGCAAGAAGACUCUUCUCCCCUGGUUUCCCUUACUGAGGGUCCAUAUUUGUGUGUGGGGGUCAUGUCUGCUGGACCCAAGUGGUUUCUCUGGUUUUACUGCACACCCUCCUGAGCGGGAGGGUGGGCUUGUGGAAAAAUUACCUUUUGCUUAUUGUUAGCAGGAACUGGUGGUUGAAAUAAUUGGAUCUGUGGGAAGUGCUGUUGUUCAAGAGAAGAAAGAGUUUUGGUGGGGAUGUUUCCUGGAACCAGGGAGAGUGAGGGAAGGAGGAUCAGAAGUCAUUCUUCAUGCUUAUUCUUUGUAAUUAGAACCUAGAGGAACAGUUUCCUCCAUGUCCUUCAUGACUGAACGCCUGGUUCUUCUGGCAUCCUUUCUUUCAGGCAGUGAAAGUGACACGGUGCCGCUCUUGAGAAGCAAUACUCAGACAGCUGCAAUAAGUGGUCUUCAAGAGAUAGUGUCUACUGGCAUUCCCACAGGUAAGCAGAAGCUUCCCUUUUGGAGGCAACAAUUUAUUGCAGUGAAUAGAUCACUGGGCCUAGAGUAAGGAAGACCUGAGUUCAAAUCUGAUCUCAGAUUCUUACUAGCUAUGGGACCUUGGGCAAGGUGCUUCACCCCUGCUUGCCUCAUUUUCCCCAUCUGUGAAAUGGGGACAAUAAUAACACCCACCUCCCAGGGUUGUUGUAAGGAUCAAAUGAGAAAAAUAAUUACAAAGCACUUAACGCAGCACCUGGCACAUGGUAGAUGCUUAAUAAAUGUUUGUUUUCCUCAUGGGAGAUUGAGUUU